GGGGACCUGGCGCCUCGCGCGGGCGGCUGCUUCGGCCCCCUCCCCACCUCCUGUUCUGCUUCCAGCUGCUCCCUCACAGAGGUCGUGGCCUCAGACAGCAGAGGGACAGGCUUUGUCUCUCCGGCUGUUACGUGCAGCCCCAGCAGGUCUUGUGCAAGUGCAGCCACACCGAAUCCGCUGCCUCCUGAAGCUACCAGUAGUGUCAUAAAGCAGCAAGCAAUGCCUGACUGUUGUCUUCUGGAUCUCAGCAGCCCUGCCUGGUCAGCAGAACCAUGAUUUCAAAAAACGAUCAGCGUGAGAUCUCUUCUUCCUGGUUUGACUUCACACUGAGCUGCAGACAUACACAGAGAACAACAUGGAUAUAAGGUAUUAAUGUUUUUCCAUUUACCAAACACUUUAAGCCUACCUCUCCAAAGUGCUGCUAUCACUGCCUUUUUUUUUUUAAGGCCAUAUGACUGUUUGCAAGUAAAAAUAAAAUAAUUUGUAUGCAUAAUGUAAAAUUUCUA
rnacentral:lncRNA from 1 species